rnacentral:rRNA from 1 species
GUGUCAGCAGCCGCGGUAAUACAGAGGUCCCAAGCGUUGUUCGGAUUCACUGGGCGUAAAGGGUGCGUAGGUGGUGAGGUAAGUCGGAUGUGAAAGCUCCGAGCUCAACUCGGAAAUGGCAUUGGAAACUACCUUGCUCGAGGGUUUGAGGGGGGACUGGAAUACUUGGUGUAGCAGUGAAAUGCGUAGAUAUCAAGUAGAACACCAGUGGCGAAGGCGAGUCCCUGGAAAACUCCUGACACUGAGGCACGAAAGCUAGGGGAGCAAACAGGAUUAGAUACCCCCGUAGUCC